UGAGGAAUUUUCCGCAAUGGGCGAAAGCCUGACGGAGCGACGCCGUGUGUAGGAUUAAAUCCUUCGGGAUGUAAACUACUGUCAGUGGGGAAGAUAUUGACGGUACCCACAGAGGAAGCCCCGGCUAACUACGUGCCAGCAGCCGCGGUAAUACGUAGGGGGCGAGCGUUGUCCGGAAUCAUUGGGCGUAAAGGGCGUGUAGGCGGUCUUAUAAGUCAGAUGUUAAAUCUACGGGCUCAACCCGUAGCCGCAUUUGAUACUGUUCGACUUGAGAGUGGUAGAGGAAAGCGGAACUUCCGGUGUAGCGGUGAAAUGCGUAGAUAUCGGAAGGAACACCAGUGGCGAAGGCGGCUUUCUGGGCCAUUUCUGACGCUGAGACGCGAAAGCUAGGGGAGCAAACGGG
rnacentral:rRNA from 1 species